rnacentral:rRNA from 1 species
GAUGAACGCUGGCGGCGUGCCUAAUACAUGCAAGUCGAGCGAACAGACGAGGAGCUUGCUCCUCUGACGUUAGCGGCGGACGGGUGAGUAACACGUGGAUAACCUACCUAUAAGACUGGGAUAACUUCGGGAAACCGGAGCUAAUACCGGAUAAUAUAUUGAACCGCAUGGUUCAAUAGUUAAAGACGGUUUUGCUGUCUCUUAUAGAUGGAUCCUCGCCGCAUUAGCUAGUUGGUAAGGUAACGGCUUACCAAGGCAACGAUGCGUAGCCGACCUGAGAGGGUGAUCGGCAACACUGGAACUGAGACACGGUCCAGACUCCUACGGGAGGCAGCAGUAGGGAAUCUUCCGCAAUGGGCGAAAGCAUGACGGAGCAACGCCGCGUGAGUGAUGAAGGUCUUCGGAUCGUAAAACUCUGUUAUUAGGGAAGAACAAAUGUGUAAGUAACUAUGCACGUCUUGACGGUACCUAAUCAGAAAGCCACGGCUAACUACGUG